rnacentral:tRNA from 1 species
CAGGAAAUAGUUUAUUUAAAAUAUGAAUUUUGGGGAUUUAAGAAGUCAUUUUUGACUUUCCUGA